GCUGAUAGGGACUGGUGGAGCUGUUGGCUGUCUGCGGAACUGAGUACAAGACUUUAGCCCUAUGGUAAAGGCACCCGUUUACUUUCUUGGUUUCUGUCUGUAUCCAGAGGACACACUGCUCCUUCCCACUGCUUAUUACGCUGGAUGGAAGUGUAGUCUCCUGCUUCAUUCAAUGAAUGCUGCUUGUCUCUGAAGGAAAAGGAUGUUGACUGGCUUCUUCCUUUCUAUCCUCGAGAGAUCAGGAGCAAUUGCUUCCCUCAUCACUUAGAAUGACAGACUGCUGGUUGAGAUCAAUCCUUUGAAUUUGCAGCGGUAUCUCACUAGGAAUUGCAAAUAAGAAGACUUCAGCUGUACUUAUGGUGACUGACCUCAGUAAAGCCCCAGAUGUCCUUUUUUGUAUGAAAUAGGAACUCUAGCUUACCAGCUAACUCUGCCGGAGGUUCCUCUUUCAAUGAAGCCUGGGGAAAGAGCUGGACUUUGUUUAUACAGGUGCUGCCCAGAAGAAAAGCGUACUCUUUCAAGCCUGGAGAGAAACGGAGUUAGCCGGCUGGAGAGAAUCCCAAUUUACACUGGGCGCUACUAUUUAAUGGAAGAAUUAGUAGACCUGUCUCCUUCUAACCUUGGCCCUAUGUCUCCAGCGUGGAGCAGAAAUGGAGUCACUGAGUUUUCUCUUCCAAACUCAGCUAAGUUUUAACGAGCUCCCUUCCAAGAUCCCUGAAGUUUUCAAUAAGCUGUGAACUUCCACAUGAUGUCAUAUCAUAUAGAGAAUCCACCACAUCCUUAGUUUUUCAACAGCCUUUUGAAGAGUGGAUACCAGAAAUAGACACAGCAUUCCAGUAUUGGUCUCAUAAUGCCAUAUACAGAGGUGGUUCGCUCAAGGUCUGCUGUGCCGGCUGUCUGCACCGAGCUGGGGCAGCACACAGGGAGAAUACACACAUGCAGCCGAACAUCUAACCACACUGGUGACCCCCGACUACUGAUCUGUGAAGAAUGACACCCGGUGUGGCAACAAUCACAGUGUGACACCUGGUGUGACAACAUGGAUGCUGGGGCAGAGUGUGUCUUGAGUCACAAUUGUGGGCAAGGGCUGGUGGAUAAACUGAACCACCCCAGGAGUAGCCUGGAGAAAGACCUCGGAGUCAGGAUUCCAUCUUUGCUGCUGUGAUCAUUAACUGUUGGUUCUAUUCCAGCGCUAAGUUAUUACCUGGGCUGGCUCAGUUACCCAGGCCAAUGAAAGGGAGCUUCUUGGAGCCAAAACUCGACCCAUUCUCUGACCCUCCCUCUCUACUCUCUUCCCACCCAUUUUGGCGGGGGGCGGGUAUCCCUGCUGUCUCCAGGGCACAUGCUCCACAGGUCUGAGUAGACCACAGUGAUGGGGAGAAUUGUUGCUCCCUUGCAGAGGGGUGUAGUCUGAGUCGCAAUCCAGCCCAUACAAUACAUUUAAAUGGUACAUCCUGUCUAUAGAGACCAACAGUGGCAGUUGUUCAAAAAGCUUGUGCCAGGCUUGUGUGCAUGUUUAAGGGGACAUGCCAGGAAUACAGUGUGGUGUAUAUCCCGAAAUAGGUCGCUGUUGCUAAUCCACGUGUGUAGCAUUGCAUGACUGAGUACAUUGCAAACAGGGAGUGAAGCUAAAAAAUGAAUCUAGGCUUUGCCCCGCCCCCCCACCAAAAAAAGUUCAAAGCAAUAUGCAUGCAAAUUUAAUUCCAAUCAGGCAAUUUUAGAUAUGAAAGUGAUGACGUGUCUUAUUUACACUUAAUGCCACUCUGGCAGCAUAAAGGGACCUUAAAGUGGACAGAAAUAGCCCCUUGACAGUACCACAUGCAGGGUGUCUCCCAACUGGUGUGAAACCAGCAUAAAGGCUCUUUGCUGUAAUCUGGGAGUAAGGCUAGCAGAGUGGGCAUGCUCCGGGUGGGAUGGAGGCUGGGAGAGAUAGGGAGUGGAUGGGUCAGAGUGCACUGCACUGUGGCUGUUCUUUGCUUUCUACUGUCCAUAGGGACAAAUGAAAAGCAGAGCAUAAAUUAGAAGUGUCACAGUUCAGGGCAACUGCACCUCUAUUCCCCAUCUGUGGUGCCGCAGGGCACCCACUUUUAGGAUCCUGGCUUCUCAGCCAUCACCUCUCUUGGGCGGAGACACGCAUCUCUCUCCCUCCUGACAGGGUUAUUUCCGUUCCCUGCCUACACUGUGAAUUCCCCAGCAAGUCAUACUGUCUCAGCCGGUCUGCUUUGUCUUCUCCUCGGAGGCUACAAACAGCAUAAUUACCCAUAGGUAAGUUACCACACAGCCCUUUCUAUGCAAGCACAUUUGUUCUUAUGGUGAAAACAUUAAAAACAAUAAACUACACACAUGCUAAUAAGCUUACCAGAGAUCCCCCCCAACUCCAACAAGGACUCUGGCAGGUGGUUAGUCCUUCAAACCCCACGCAGGGGAUUUUAUGUAGUUACAAAUUCAUAACACCUUUUGAUCAGAACAAGAGCCCCUGUGACUCUGUGAGUCACUCCUUAAUACGGUUUGGGUCUCUGAUCUUGUCCUCAUUUAAUAGGUGAUCAGGUUUCCUCCGCAGGGAGAAGCUUCAAAAGACUGAGUUCUUACGUAACCAGAAGAGGGUACAUUUGUAUACACCUUCCUCUAGAGAUUUCUUGGGAAACUCACUUAACUUUAAAGUUCAUUCUUGUCUGGCCCAUAGUUUCAAAUAGUUCUUUGAAGUUCUUAACGCUUCCCAGUGAUUACUUUAGUCACAUCUGCCCCUGGAGAACAUUAUAUACAAUCCCACUUUAAUGAAUAAGAUUUGCAUUUGCGUUUUUAAUACAGGUUUCAGAGUAGCAGCCAUGUUAGUCUGUAUUUGCAAAAAGAAAAGGAGUACUUGUGGCACCUUAGAGACUAACCAAUUUAUUUGAGCAUAAGCUUUAUGCUCAAAUAAAUUAGUUAGUCUCUAAGGUUUUCAAUACAGUGAUACAAAAAUCCUUCAACAUAAUUCAUUAAGCCAGGAUAUUGUAGGAAAUUGACAUGUUUGUCACAAGAAGUGUCUCCUAACCGUGCAUCUUAAUUGUUCGCAUAUGCGUAUGAUAGUUCCUAGUUCACAUAAGGGUUAUUCAGCGCUAGACUCAGACAUGCAUUUACAUUUUGAAGGUGCCAAAGUAUCAAUUACCUUUCCAGCAAAAUGGUAUGUUAAUUUAGAAGGGAAGGAAGCAUUUACUUACUGACUUCAAUGCAAAAAAUGAUUUGCACUGUGAAUGUCUGCAAAAGAUUGCCAGAUUGUCGAUCAUAAGAAGAAACCAGGGCUGGUGCAGAGUUCCUGAGUGGAGAAAGUUUGAAAAUGCCUCCUCUGUAACAAUCUAUUAUAUAUAAUCGUGAUGAUCAAAUUGCUGAGGUUGAAGAUGACACUGACCUCCAAAGCCUGCUUACUUCCCACAAUUUUAAUGGACACUGCCCUUUAUUCCUGACAAAGUGGAAUCAGGUCUUUAUCUAUCUAAGGUACUUCUCUGGCCCAUUUUUCCAUAAUAUCUGAGCAUAUUACAAUCUUUAAUUUAUCCUCAUAGCACCCCCUGUGAGCUAGGGAAGUACUCGUAUCUCCAUUUUACCAGUGGGGGACUGAUGCCCAGAGAGCAAGGUCCUCAAAGGUAUUUAGGCUCCUAACGUCCAUUGAUUUCAAUGGAAACGGAAGGUCAGAGCCUCAAUUCCUUUGAGGAUCAAGGCCUAAGUGACUUGUCCAAGGUCACACAGGAAGGUGAUGGCAGAGCAGAGCCUUGAAGCCAGGACUUUCAAGUCUUAGCCUUGACCCUAGCUACUGGAUCAUCCCACCUCUGUCUCAGUGGAUUUACACGUGGGAAUUUUUCUGCUUUGAAAUGAAUUGGGUAAUCUCUGUAGGCCAAUAUCAUACAUAUGGAUUGCUGUGUCAAGAGGGAUUUUUGGUUUGGUGGUUCUCUUUUCAAUUUUGAUAAUAUUGUGUUUGUUUAUGCAAACCCCUAGAUAACAAGUUUAUAUAUAAUAUACUAAUUGUCACGAUCAGCGGUUUAAAUGUAACCUUUCCCCCAAAGAGGUUGUGGUGCACGCUUGUAAACUACUUCUUGUUUUUCCACUUUGUAGUGAAAAAAGAGACUUCUGGUCUUAAAGGAGGAGAACUGAGGUCCCUAUUUCACUACAGGAAUAAAGCAAGGACUGAAAUCCAGCCUCCACUUGAGAAACGUCCUUGGUCUCCUCCUAGGUUAAAACCUUUCAUUACACAGACACCGACUUUAUUCUUUCCGGGUGGGUGCUCCACCCCCACUCCACCCUGAGGCCACGCCCCCAUGCUACCCCUUCCCCUAAGGCCCCACGCUCGCUGUACCUCUUCCCUUCCCGUCCCCGCUCCUCCUCCACCCCCGAGCAUGCCCCGUCCUCGCUCCGCCUCUUCCUGCCCCCACGCCACCCCUUCUCCCAGGACCUACCGAACAGCUGAUCAGUGGGUGGCUGGUGGCACCCACUGUUUUCUUUGCCCGUGGGUGCUCCAGCCCUGGAGCACCCACAGAGUCAGCACCUAUGUUUCAUUAUAUCAGAUGAGUCCUCGUUCUUGAGGGUCAGGAGCCCACAUUAUCAUGUGAAAUUAAUUGAUGGGAAUAUAAAGGAGGGUCACAGUAAUCGCUAGGACUGUUUUAAAGUUAAAAGUUGAACUGCAUAUCUGCACAUUUUCACCAGACUGCACAUGCUACAGCAACCCCAAGGCCUGAUUUCUGUGCUCACCGGCACAGCUUUACACCUGUGUUACUCCAGAGAUGUAAGUGGAAUUACUUGUGUUGUACACCUAAGUUAAUGAGAGCACAAUCAGGGUGCACUGAAAGACUGAUGUGGAAACCAGGAGGAAAACAGGGCUUUAUCCCAAAUGUCCUAUUAGGUUUAUAAUACCAGUAAGCUCAUUUUUGUUUUACCUACUCAGCACAUUCUACAGUGUGCAUGAACAUUCCUACCGCCCCCUUAAAUUCAAGCAAAUUAAGGGCACAUAUUGAACUACUUGUUAUUAAUAUAUCAGCUCUACUUUCUAAUUCCUAAUUCACGCUUGAAAUUGAUUAAAAAUGCUAAUCCUUGACAAGGCUGCAAAAAUUUAUGCUAAUGUACUGACGUGCUCUUUUAAGAAACUUUGCGUUUCUUGUUUAUAAAUUAAAUUUAAACAGAACAUUCAAGGGCCUUCCUAAUUUAGCAUGGAGGGGGCAAGGAUUUACAUGAUGAAACGCUACAUGCCCUUGGGCUUACUGUACAGUAGGGAUGAAAAGGGCUGACAUUACAGUUUCCUAAGGUUGGGGAAAGAGAUGAGGGUGUCAUUAAGAUUUUAAGUAGGUUUCAUUAGCUUCUCUUAGCCUCAUGGCAAAGCUAGAUACAAGGGCAACCUGAAUUUCACUCGACAGUGCAGAGAGUUGUAAAUUUCACCCUCUUUCUCACAUGGGGGGUCCAGCAAUUAAGCCCCCUAAGGCAGUGAGUUGGCCUCCAUUGGGGGAUUCACGAGGGUAAGGCAAUGUUAGGAUGGCAUUUUGGCAUCAUACUGCCACAGAAGGGGAUCACCGGGAAGCAUUGUGGUAGAAGGCCUGGUGCACAUGGGGAGGGUGUAUGCUGCUAUACCCCUGUACGGGGUGCCGCACAGUCUCACUCCCCCCACAGCAUCCUGCAUACCCAGCCAGCUCUGCCGGGCAGCGCAUAGUGGAAUGGCCAUGGCUCCACCCUCUCCCUCCCUGCCUCCUUUGGCCCUCCUCAGGGACUUGAAUUUUGCAGGGGGCUAAUGGGCUGUGCAAGGGGGAAGAAAGGCUGUUUACAGAACCCCACAUUCUGCAUCCCAUAAAUCCAGGCAGAGACUGGUCUUUCGUCCGUACCGGUAAUACAGUCUCAUAUCCUAUCAUGUGUCCAUUAUAUUGAAAGAGAAUUUAUAAAUCCCUCAGUCUGCCACCAGACCCACAGGAAGUGUCAGCUGAACAGUGACAAUGACACAUAAUGACAGGUUUCAGAGUAGCAGCCGUGUUAGUCUGUAGCCCACGAAAGCUUAUGCUCUAAUAAAUUUGUUAGUCUCUAAGGUGCCACAAGUCCUCCUGUCCUUUUAAUGACACAUACAUGUAACAAUCUCUUUAGGUUGGUAUUUGCUUCCUGUGCCUUCAUCCUGCUACUGUUCAUGGCUGUGGGGCACCAUACGCAAUGAGCACUGUGUAAACCUCCAUUGAUUCAGAUGGUGUGUUAAUUGCUAGAGUGAGAAACCCUUUCUUAUUCAUUUUGGUCUUGUGAAUGGGAAUCUGCAUCAGUGACACACUGCAGGAGCUGGGGGAGAAGGAAACAAGGAUGUUUACGUGAACGUAAAGUGCUAGAUGGCUUUUGCAGCAUGAAGGUCAGGGCUGUGCAAAAGUAUGAAGGCCCUGUUCUGCCACCAUUAGUCCCCCAGAGUGGUACAUGGAAUCCCACUAAAAUCAAUGGGACUAAUCAGCGAGUAAGUUGCAACUGCUCAUCAGGAGUGAGAGAGGUGGAAUCAUAUCUUUAGCGGCUCUGAAAACAAAGAGCCUGAUUCUUAUUACUGUUACUCAUAGUGAGUAGUACUUGCAUUUAGUCCUGCACCCACUUAAGUCAACUGCAAUCUUCCCAUUCAUUUAUGGGGGAUUUUUCAAAAGUGUCUAGGCAACUUAGGAACACAAGUCCAAUUGAUCCAACUCACAUAAGCAUUUUGUAAAUCCCUCCCUUAAUUGGUGCAGGAUCCAGCCCCAUGGUACCUCUCAAUGUAAGUAGCAGGGACAGACUGCAACAUAAUAUUUUCAAGGUUCAACCCUAAGCUUGUUGCAGUCAAUGAGGAGUCUAGCUGUUGACUUCUGGGAAGUGGUGGACCAGGCUCUACUUCUGCAAAUUUUAAAAUUUUAAAAUUUUAAGCCAGUAGACUCCUGUCAUAAAUUGCUCAGAAACACACAGCUAAAUCUCCCUUAAAUCUUUUCAACUACCUCCUCCCUUCAUCCCUGAAUUGUGAAAUCUUUGGAUGUUCUUUUUAUUCAAAACAUGUCAUCUGCAGAAAAAUAAAUAACCCAAA